GGUGACAUAGCCAAGAGGAAAGGCAGGGGACUGCAAAUCCUUGAGCCUCAGUUCGAAUCUGAGUGUCACCU
rnacentral:tRNA from 1 species